GGUGAAACCUCAGCUACUCCUCCAGAUCUGGCUGCUCAUCCAUCACCUGUUGUUCCAUCAUCGCUUCAAGCAGAGGAUGUGGAUCCAACCACGGAGAAGAAAGUGUUGGUAGUGCUGAGUGGAAGACUAGUGAUUUUGUUGUGACGUUGAUGGAAGAACAACAAGUCCCAGUCUACCUCUCAGCACAAGCAGUCCCUUCAGUGCAGCAACCUGGACAGCUAAAAUAAAGGGGGAAAAAUGAGGACAUUUCCUGUUUUUUCAAUAUAAAAACUGCUUUUUCUAAAACGUUUAACACAUUCUGAUUCACUCCCUGUGUGUAUGUACAUUCACUAAUGUUAAUUAUGGCAAAAUUGCAAUCAAAAGCACCAUUUAAGCAACGGUACUGAAUCAUGCAAUGAAAGGCGCUGUGGGAUUUACUGCAAUUAUGUCAUAAAGUGAAUAAAAGACAGCUUUGGAGGUAGGCUGCAAGAUGUUUCAAACUGUGAGGAUUUUUAUUGUGUCUGCAUUUAAAAAAAAAUGUUUUUUUUAAAUAAAGCAAUUGUUUAAACCUU